CAAUAGCGUAUAUUAAAGUUGUUGCAGUUAAAAAGCUCGUAGUUGGAGUUCAGAGUGAGCUCGUCCGGUCGGCCUUAUGGGUCAGAACUGGUUGACUCUCUCUUGUUUGUGGAUCCUGUCAGCAGUUAACUCUGUUGAUGUGGAGUCCACAUCGUUUACCUUGAAAAAAUCAGAGUGUUUCUAGCAGGCAGCUCGCUCUUGCAUAGGUUAGCAUGGGAUAAUUUAAUAGGACUCUGGUGCUAUUUUGUGGUUUCGAACACCGGAGUAAUGAUUAAAAGGGGCAGUCAGGGGCACUCGUAUUCCGUCGAGAGAGGUGAAAUUCUCAGACCAAUGGAAGACGAACCACUGCGAAAGCAUUUGCCAGGGAUGUUUUCACUGAUCAAGAACGAAAGUUAGGGGAUCGAAGACGAUCAGAUACCG
rnacentral:rRNA from 1 species